rnacentral:rRNA from 1 species
UACGGGGGGGGCAAGCGUUGUUCGGAAUUACUGGGCGUAAAGGGCUCGUAGGCGGCCAACUAAGUCGGAUGUGAAAUCCCCAGGCUUAACCUGGGAACUGCAUCCGAUACUGGAUGGCUUGAAUCCGGGAGAGGGAUGCAGAAUUCCAGGUGUAGCGGUGAAAUGCGUAGAUAUCUGGAGGAAUACCGGUGGCGAAGGCGGCGCUCUGGACCGAGACUGACGCUGAGGCGCGAAAGCGUGGGGAGCAAACAGG